rnacentral:pre_miRNA from 1 species
GAGACACCCCUACAGAGCAGGACUUGCUUCAGUGGGACUUUGGUGUUCACUGAGUCUGCCCCUUGAGUGGUCACU